rnacentral:sRNA from 1 species
UGUUCUCACGAGGGGGCAGCUUGGGCUUGACCGAGCAGGAGCUUCAUGGUCCCACACGUAGUAUGACAUGUGACCUCUGCACAUUGUUUACAGUUCCUAAACUGUGAUUUCUUUUUCUGUGAAAUAGUUAUAAUAGUAAGUGGCUACCAAGUAGAAAGUGGUCAUGGGGGGGGGGGGGUGAAGGUUAAACACAAUAACGGACACACAGAACUUACACAGGGCAUUUUAUGCCAAGCUAUAUUGAAUAUCUAUACCCCUCUACCUGCCCGUCAAUGUCAUGAAUAUUGACAAUUCAUUCUAGACCCUGCUAGAAGAAUCCAAAGAAAUUGACAGUGAGCUGGAAGCAAUGACUGAGAAAUUACAGUACCUCACUAGCGUGUACUGUACAGAAAAAAUGUCUCAGCAAGUGGCAGAACUGGGACGGGAGACUGAGGAGUUGCGACAGAUGAUCAAAAUUCGUUUGCAGAACCUCCAAGAUGCAGCUAAGGAUAUGAAAAAAUUUGAAGCAGAGUUGAAAAAGUUACAAGCUGCCUUGGAGCAAGCCCAGGCAACACUGACUUCUCCAGAAGUUGGACGUCUCAGUCUCAAGGAGCAGCUCUCUCAUCGGCAGCAUUUGUUGUCUGAGAUGGAGUCACUGAAGCCGAAGGUGCAAGCAGUGCAGCUCUGCCAGAGUGCCCUCCGGAUCCCCGAGGAUGUGGUUGCCAGCUUACCUCUCUGUCAUGCUGCUCUGCGGCUGCAGGAAGAGGCCAGCCGGCUGCAGCACACCGCCAUCCAGCAGUGUAACAUCAUGCAGGAGGCUGUGGUGCAGUAUGAACAAUAUGAGCAAGAAAUGAAACAUCUCCAGCAACUGAUAGAAGGAGCUCACAGAGAGAUUGAGGAUAAACCUGUUGCCACCAGUAACAUACAGGAGCUGCAGGCUCAGAUUUCUCGGCAUGAGGAGCUGGCGCAGAAAAUUAAGGGCUACCAGGAGCAGAUCGCUUCUUUGAAUUCCAAGUGCAAGAUGCUGACGAUGAAAGCCAAGCACGCCACCAUGCUGCUGACGGUGACCGAGGUCGAGGGGCUGGCGGAAGGGACAGAGGACCUGGAUGGGGAGCUCCUCCCCACGCCUUCGGCCCACCCCUCUGUGGUCAUGAUGACUGCAGGUCGCUGUCACACUUUGCUGUCACCGGUCACUGAGGAGUCUGGGGAGGAGGGAACCAACAGUGAGAUUUCCUCUCCACCUGCCUGUCGCUCCCCUUCACCUGUGGCUAAUACAGAUGCUUCUGUUAACCAGGACAUUGCAUAUUACCAAGCCUUGUCUGCUGAGAGGUUGCAGACAGAUGCUGCAAAAAUUCACCCCAGCACAUCCGCAUCCCAGGAGUUCUAUGAACCGGGAUUGGAGCCAUCCGCUACUGCCAAACUGGGUGAUUUGCAGCGUUCUUGGGAAACCUUAAAGAAUGUGAUCAGUGAGAAGCAGCGCACACUCUAUGAAGCUUUGGAACGCCAGCAGAAGUACCAGGACUCCCUCCAGUCCAUCUCUACGAAGAUGGAGGCUAUUGAGCUGAAACUCAGUGAGAGCCCAGAGCCUGGCAGGAGUCCAGAAAGCCAGAUGGCUGAACAUCAGGCAUUGAUGGAUGAGAUUCUCAUGCUCCAGGAUGAAAUCAAUGAGCUCCAGUCCUCUCUCGCAGAGGAGCUGGUAUCCGAGUCUUGUGAGGCCGACCCCGCGGAGCAGCUGGCCUUGCAGUCCACGCUCACUGUCUUAGCCGAGCGAAUGUCCACCAUCAGGAUGAAAGCCUCGGGGAAACGGCAGCUUUUGGAGGAGAAGUUGAAUGAUCAGCUGGAGGAACAAAGGCAGGAACAGGCCCUGCAGAGGUAUCGCUGUGAAGCCGAUGAGCUGGACAGCUGGCUCUUGAGUACCAAGGCCACUCUGGACACUGCGCUGAGUCCACCCAAGGAGCCCAUGGACAUGGAGGCCCAGCUUGUGGACUGCCAGAAUAUGCUGGUGGAAAUAGAGCAGAAGGUGGUGGCUUUAUCAGAACUGUCAGUCCACAAUGAGAACCUGCUGCUGGAGGGCAAAGCUCACACCAAGGACGAGGCCGAGCAGCUGGCUGGAAAGCUGAGAAGGCUCAAGGGGAGCCUGCUGGAGCUGCAGAGAGCCCUGCAUGAUAAGCAGCUCAACAUGCAGGGAACAGCACAGGAGAAGGAGGAGAGCGAUGUUGACCUAACAGCCACGCAGAGCCCCGGCGUCCAGGAAUGGCUGGCCCAAGCUCGCACCACAUGGACCCAGCAGCGGCAGAGCAGUCUCCAGCAACAAAAAGAGUUAGAACAGGAAUUAGCCGAGCAGAAGAGUCUCCUUCGCUCAGUAGCCAGUCGUGGAGAGGAGAUUCUAAUUCAACAUUCGGCGGCAGAGACUUCUGGUGAUGCUGGCGAAAAACCUGAUGUGUUAUCCCAGGAGUUGGGGAUGGAAGGGGAGAAAUCAUCUGCUGAAGACCAGAUGAGAAUGAAAUGGGAAAGCCUACAUCAAGAAUUUAGUACCAAGCAGAAACUACUACAGAAUGUUCUGGAACAGGAACAAGAGCAAGUGCUUUAUAGCAGGCCAAAUCGACUCUUGUCUGGUGUGCCACUGUACAAAGGGGACGUGCCAACCCAAGAUAAAUCUGCAGUUACAUCUUUGCUGGAUGGACUGAACCAAGCCUUCGAGGAGGUUUCAUCCCAGAGUGGAGGGGCAAAGAGGCAGAGUAUACACUUGGAGCAGAAGUUGUAUGAUGGAGUCUCAGCCACCUCUACUUGGUUGGAUGACGUUGAAGAACGUUUAUUUGUUGCCACAGCACUUUUACCAGAAGAAACAGAGACUUGUCUCUUCAACCAAGAGAUUCUUGCCAAAGACAUUAAGGAAAUGUCUGAAGAAAUGGAUAAGAACAAAAACUUGUUUUCCCAAGCUUUUCCAGAGAAUGGUGAUAAUCGAGAUGUUAUUGAAGAUACUUUGGGUUGUCUUUUGGGCAGGUUAUCCUUGCUAGACUCAGUAGUGAAUCAACGAUGUCAUCAGAUGAAAGAAAGACUUCAGCAAAUACUAAAUUUCCAGAAUGAUCUGAAAGUGCUGUUUACAUCACUGGCUGACAACAAAUACAUCAUUCUGCAAAAACUGGCAAAUGUGUUUGAACAGCCCGUAGCAGAACAAAUAGAGGCAAUACAACAGGCUGAAGAUGGACUCAAAGAAUUCGAUGCAGGAAUCAUUGAAUUAAAGAGGCGUGGUGACAAGCUACAGGUCGAGCAGCCGUCCAUGCAAGAACUCUCCAAGCUCCAGGACAUGUAUGAUGAGCUGAUGAUGACCAUUGGCUCCCGGAGGAGUGGUCUGAAUCAGAACCUUACACUCAAGAGUCAGUAUGAGAGGGCCCUACAAGAUCUGGCUGACCUGCUAGAAACUGGUCAGGAGAAGAUGGCAGGAGACCAGAAAAUCAUCGUGUCUUCCAAAGAGGAAAUCCAGCAACUACUUGACAAACAUAAGGAAUACUUUCAGGGCCUGGAAUCUCAUAUGAUCUUGACUGAAACACUCUUCAGAAAGAUAAUCAGCUUUGCAGUCCAAAAGGAAACCCAGUUCCAUACAGAGCUGAUGGCUCAGGCUUCUGCUGUACUGAAACGGGCUCACAAGAGGGGUGUGGAGCUGGAGUACAUUCUAGAGACGUGGUCCCAUCUGGAUGAGGACCAGCAGGAGCUCAGCAGACAGCUGGAGGUGGUGGAAAGCAGCAUCCCAAGCGUGGGUCUGGUGGAGGAGAACGAGGACAGGCUUAUUGACCGCAUAACACUCUACCAGCAUUUAAAAUCUAGCCUUAAUGAAUACCAGCCCAAAUUAUAUCAAGUAUUAGAUGAUGGGAAACGACUUCUGAUAUCCAUCAGCUGCUCAGAUCUAGAAAGCCAACUAAAUCAACUUGGAGAGCGCUGGCUAAGUAACACCAAUAAAGUGUCUAAGGAACUUCACAGACUGGAAACAAUAUUGAAACACUGGACCAGAUAUCAAAGUGAAUCUGCAGAUCUAAUUCACUGGUUACAAUCUGCAAAAGACCGGCUAGAAUUUUGGACUCAGCAAUCUGUGACAGUCCCACAAGAGCUGGAAAUGGUCCGUGAUCAUCUAAAUGCUUUCCUGGAGUUUUCUAAAGAAGUGGAUGCCCAGUCUUCCCUGAAAUCAUCUGUUCUGAGUACUGGAAAUCAGCUCCUUCGACUAAAAAAGGUGGACACAGCCACGCUGCGCUCUGAGCUGUCGCGCAUUGAUAGCCAGUGGACUGACCUGCUAACCAAUAUCCCAGCUGUCCAGGAGAAGCUCCACCAGCUCCAGAUGGAUAAACUGCCUUCCCGCCAUGCCAUUUCUGAAGUCAUGAGUUGGAUUUCUCUAAUGGAAAAUGUUAUUCAGAAGGAUGAAGAUAAUAUUAAAAAUUCCAUAGGUUACAAGGCAAUUCAUGAAUACCUUCAGAAAUAUAAGGGUUUUAAGAUAGACAUUAACUGUAAACAGCUGACGGUGGAUUUUGUGAACCAGUCCGUGCUACAAAUCAGCAGUCAGGAUGUGGAAAGUAAGCGUAGUGAUAAGACUGAUUUUGCUGAGCAACUUGGAGCAAUGAAUAAAAGUUGGCAAAUUCUGCAAGGUCUAGUAACUGAGAAGAUCCAGCUGUUGGAAGGCUUAUUGGAAUCUUGGUCAGAAUAUGAAAAUAAUGUACAAUGUCUGAAAACAUGGUUUGAAACCCAGGAAAAGAGACUAAAACAACAGCAUCGAAUUGGAGAUCAGGCUUCUGUUCAAAAUGCACUGAAAGACUGUCAGGAUCUGGAAGAUUUGAUUAAAGCAAAAGAAAAAGAAGUAGAGAAAAUUGAGCAGAAUGGACUUGCUUUGAUUCAGAACAAGAAAGAAGACGUCUCUGGCAUUGUCAUGAGCACACUGCGAGAGCUCGGCCAAACCUGGGCAAAUUUAGAUCACAUGGUUGGACAAUUAAAGAUACUGCUGAAAUCAGUGCUUGACCAAUGGAGUAAUCACAAAGUGGCCUUUGACAAGAUAAACAGUUACCUCAUGGAGGCCAGAUACUCUCUUUCCCGAUUCCGUCUGCUGACUGGCUCCUUAGAAGCUGUGCAAGUUCAGGUGGACAAUCUUCAGAAUCUCCAAGAUGAUCUUGAAAAACAGGAAAGGAGCUUACAGAAAUUUGGCUCUAUCACCAACCAAUUAUUAAAAGAGUGUCACCCACCUGUGACAGAAACGCUUACCAAUACACUGAAAGAAGUCAACAUGAGGUGGAAUAACUUGCUGGAAGAGAUUGCUGAGCAGCUACACUCCAGCAAGGCCCUACUUCAGCUUUGGCAAAGAUACAAGGACUACUCCAAACAGUGUGCUUCGACAGUUCAGCAGCAGGAGGAUCGAACCAAUGAGCUGUUGAAGGCAGCCACAAACAAGGACAUCGCCGAUGAUGAGGUUGCCACAUGGAUUCAAGAUUGCAACGACCUCCUCAAAGGACUGGGCACAGUUAAAGAUUCCCUCUUUGUUCUCCAUGAGCUGGGAGAGCAACUGAAGCAACAAGUGGAUGCUUCCGCAGCAUCCGCUAUUCAAUCGGAUCAACUCUCUUUGAGUCAACACUUGUGUGCCCUGGAGCAGGCUCUCUGCAAACAGCAGACUUCGUUACAGGCUGGAGUUCUUGAUUAUGAAACCUUUGCCAAGAGUUUAGAAGCUUUGGAGGCCUGGAUAGUGGAAGCUGAAGAAAUACUACAAGGGCAGGACCCUAGCCACUCAUCUGACCUCUCCACAAUCCAGGAAAGGAUGGAAGAACUUAAGGGACAGAUGUUAAAAUUCAGCAGCAUGGCUCCAGAUUUAGACCGUCUAAAUGAGCUUGGAUAUAGGUUACCCUUGAAUGAUAAGGAAAUCAAAAGGAUGCAGAAUCUGAACCGCCAUUGGUCUCUGAUCUCCUCUCAGACUACAGAAAGAUUCAGCAAGUUGCAGUCAUUUUUGCUACAACAUCAGACUUUCUUGGAAAAAUGUGAAACAUGGAUGGAAUUCCUAGUUCAGACAGAACAAAAGUUAGCAGUAGAGAUUUCAGGAAAUUAUCAGCACCUUUUGGAACAGCAGAGAGCACACGAGUUGUUUCAAGCCGAGAUGUUCAGUCGUCAGCAGAUUUUGCACUCAAUCAUUAUUGAUGGGCAACGUCUUCUAGAACAAGGUCAAGUUGAUGACAGGGAUGAAUUCAACCUGAAAUUGACACUCCUCAGUAAUCAAUGGCAGGGAGUGAUUCGCAGGGCCCAGCAGAGGCGGGGGAUCAUUGACAGCCAGAUUCGCCAGUGGCAGCGCUAUAGGGAGAUGGCAGAAAAGCUUCGUAAAUGGUUGGUUGAAGUGUCCUACCUCCCCAUGAGUGGUCUCGGAAGUGUUCCUAUACCACUGCAACAAGCAAGGACCCUCUUUGAUGAAGUGCAGUUCAAAGAAAAAGUGUUUCUGCGGCAACAAGGCAGCUACAUCCUGACUGUGGAGGCUGGCAAGCAACUCCUUCUCUCAGCGGACAGUGGCGCUGAGGCCGCCUUGCAGGCCGAACUCGCUGAAAUCCAAGAGAAAUGGAAAUCAGCCAGCAUGCGGCUGGAAGAACAGAAGAAAAAACUAGCCUUCUUGUUGAAAGACUGGGAAAAAUGUGAGAAAGGAAUAGCAGAUUCCCUGGAGAAACUACGAACUUUCAAAAAGAAGCUUUCGCAGUCUCUCCCGGAUCACCAUGAAGAGCUCCAUGCAGAACAAAUGCGUUGCAAGGAAUUAGAAAAUGCAGUUGGGAGCUGGACAGAUGACUUGACCCAGUUGAGCCUGCUGAAGGACACCCUCUCUGCCUAUAUCAGUGCUGAUGAUAUCUCCAUUCUUAAUGAACGCGUAGAGCUUCUGCAAAGGCAGUGGGAAGAACUAUGCCACCAGCUCUCCUUAAGGCGGCAGCAAAUAGGUGAAAGAUUGAAUGAAUGGGCAGUCUUCAGUGAAAAGAACAAGGAACUCUGUGAGUGGUUGACUCAAAUGGAAAGCAAAGUUUCUCAGAAUGGAGACAUUCUCAUUGAAGAAAUGAUAGAGAAGCUCAAGAAGGAUUAUCAAGAGGAAAUUGCUAUUGCCCAAGAGAACAAAAUACAGCUCCAACAAAUGGGAGAACGACUUGCUAAAGCCAGCCAUGAAAGCAAAGCAUCUGAGAUUGAAUACAAGCUGGGAAAGGUCAACGACCGGUGGCAGCAUCUCCUGGACCUCAUUGCAGCCAGGGUGAAGAAGCUGAAGGAGACCCUGGUAGCCGUGCAGCAGCUUGAUAAGAACAUGAGCAGCCUGAGGACCUGGCUCGCUCACAUCGAGUCAGAGCUGGCCAAGCCAAUAGUCUACGAUUCCUGUAACUCGGAAGAAAUACAGAGAAAGCUUAAUGAGCAGCAGGAGCUUCAGAGAGACAUAGAGAAGCACAGUACAGGUGUUGCAUCUGUCCUCAACCUGUGUGAAGUCCUGCUGCACGACUGUGACGCCUGUGCCACUGAUGCCGAGUGUGACUCUAUACAGCAGGCUACGAGAAACCUGGACCGGCGGUGGAGAAACAUUUGUGCUAUGUCCAUGGAAAGGAGGCUGAAAAUCGAAGAGACGUGGCGAUUGUGGCAGAAAUUUCUGGAUGACUAUUCACGUUUUGAAGAUUGGCUGAAGUCUUCAGAAAGGACAGCUGCUUUUCCCAGCUCUUCUGGGGUGAUCUAUACAGUUGCCAAGGAAGAACUAAAGAAAUUUGAGGCUUUCCAGCGACAGGUCCACGAGUGCCUGACGCAGCUGGAACUGAUCAACAAGCAGUACCGCCGCCUGGCCAGGGAGAACCGCACUGAUUCAGCGUGUAGCCUCAAACAGAUGGUUCACGAAGGCAACCAGAGAUGGGACAACCUGCAAAAGCGUGUCACCUCCAUCUUGCGCAGACUCAAGCAUUUUAUUGGCCAGCGUGAGGAGUUUGAGACUGCGCGGGACAGCAUUCUGGUCUGGCUCACAGAGAUGGAUCUGCAGCUCACUAAUAUUGAACAUUUUUCUGAGUGUGAUGUUCAAGCUAAAAUAAAGCAACUCAAGGCCUUCCAGCAGGAAAUUUCACUGAACCACAAUAAGAUUGAGCAGAUAAUUGCCCAAGGAGAACAGCUGAUAGAAAAGAGUGAGCCCUUGGAUGCAGCGAUCAUCGAGGAGGAACUAGAUGAGCUCCGACGGUACUGCCAGGAGGUCUUCGGGCGUGUGGAAAGAUACCAUAAGAAACUGAUCCGCCUGCCUCUCCCAGACGAUGAGCAUGACCUCUCAGACAGAGAGCUGGAGCUGGAAGACUCUGCAGCUCUGUCAGACCUGCACUGGCACGACCGCUCUGCAGACAGCCUGCUUUCUCCACAGCCUUCCUCCAACCCCUCCCUCUCGCUCGCUCAGCCCCUCCGGAGCGAGCGGUCAGGACGAGACACCCCGGCUAGUGUGGACUCCAUCCCCCUGGAGUGGGAUCACGACUAUGACCUCAGUCGGGACCUGGAGUCUGCAAUGUCCAGAGCUCUGCCCUCUGAGGAUGAAGAGGGUCAGGAUGACAAAGAUUUCUACCUCCGGGGAGCUGUUGGCUUAUCAGGGGACCACAGUGCCCUAGAGUCACAGAUCCGACAACUGGGCAAAGCCCUGGAUGAUAGCCGCUUUCAGAUACAGCAAACCGAAAAUAUCAUUCGCAGCAAAACUCCCACGGGGCCGGAGCUAGACACCAGCUACAAAGGCUACAUGAAACUGCUGGGCGAAUGCAGUGGCAGUAUAGACUCCGUGAAGAGACUGGAGCACAAACUGAAGGAGGAAGAGGAGAGCCUUCCUGGCUUUGUUAACCUGCAUAGUACCGAAACCCAAACGGCUGGUGUGAUUGACCGAUGGGAGCUUCUCCAGGCCCAGGCAUUGAGCAAGGAGUUGAGGAUGAAGCAGAACCUCCAGAAGUGGCAGCAGUUUAACUCAGACUUGAACAGCAUCUGGGCCUGGCUGGGGGACACGGAGGAGGAGUUGGAACAGCUCCAGCGUCUGGAACUCAGCACUGACAUCCAGACCAUUGAGCUCCAGAUCAAAAAGCUCAAGGAGCUCCAGAAAGCUGUGGACCACCGCAAAGCCAUCAUCCUCUCCAUCAAUCUCUGCAGCCCUGAGUUCACCCAGGCUGACAGCAAGGAGAGCCGGGACCUGCAGGAUCGCUUGUCGCAGAUGAAUGGGCGCUGGGACCGAGUGUGCUCUCUGCUGGAGGAGUGGCGGGGCCUGCUGCAGGAUGCCCUGAUGCAGUGCCAGGGUUUCCAUGAAAUGAGCCAUGGUUUGCUUCUUAUGCUGGAGAACAUUGACAGAAGGAAAAAUGAAAUUGUCCCUAUUGAUUCUAACCUUGAUGCAGAGAUACUUCAGGACCAUCAUAAACAGCUUAUGCAAAUAAAGCAUGAGCUGUUGGAAUCCCAACUCAGAGUAGCCUCUUUGCAAGACAUGUCUUGCCAACUACUGGUGAAUGCUGAAGGAACAGACUGUUUAGAAGCCAAAGAAAAAGUCCAUGUUAUUGGAAAUCGGCUCAAACUUCUCUUGAAGGAGGUCAGUCGUCAUAUCAAGGAACUGGAGAAGUUAUUAGACGUGUCAAGUAGUCAGCAGGAUUUGUCUUCCUGGUCUUCUGCUGAUGAACUGGACACCUCAGGGUCUGUGAGUCCCACAUCAGGAAGGAGCACCCCAAACAGACAGAAAACGCCACGAGGCAAGUGUAGUCUCUCACAGCCUGGACCCUCUGUCAGCAGUCCACAUAGCAGGUCCACAAAAGGUGGCUCCGAUUCCUCCCUUUCUGAGCCAGGGCCAGGUCGGUCCGGCCGCGGCUUCCUGUUCAGAGUCCUCCGAGCAGCUCUUCCCCUUCAGCUUCUCCUGCUCCUCCUCAUCGGGCUUGCCUGCCUUGUACCAAUGUCAGAGGAAGACUACAGCUGUGCCCUCUCCAACAACUUUGCCCGGUCAUUCCACCCCAUGCUCAGAUACACAAAUGGCCCUCCUCCACUCUGAACUAAGCAGAUGCCAUCUGCAGAAGUGCUGGUAGCAUAAGGAGGAUCGGGUCAUAAGCAAUCCCAAACUACCAACAAGAGGACCUUGAUCUUGGUGAAAGCCCUCGGUGUGGCAGCUUUAGCCCUCCUCCAGAUCACAUGUGUGCAAAUUAUGGCUUCAGAGGUGGAAGAUAAACAGUGACAGGGGAACAAACAGACAACAAGAAGGUUUGGAAGAAAUCUGGUUUGAGACUCUGAACCUUAGCACUAAGGAGAUUGAGUAAGGACCUCCAGAGUUCCCCGGACUCAUGAAUUCUGGGCCCUUGGCCCAUUCUGUGCACAGCCAAGGACUUCAGUAGACCAUCUGGGCAGCUUUCCCAUGGUGCUGCUCCAACCAUCAGAUAAAUGACCCUCCCAAGCACCAUGUCAGUGUCGUACAAUCUACCAACCAACCAGUGCUGAAGAGAUUUUAGAACCUUGUAACAUACAAUUUUUAAGAGCUUAUAUGGCAGCUUCCUUUUUACCUUGUUUUCCUUUGGGGCAUGAUGUUUUAACCUUUGCUUUAGAAGCACAAGCUGUAAAUCUAAAAGGCACUUUUUUUUAGAGGUACAAAGAAAAACUAGAUGUAAUAAAUAAGAUCAUGGAAGGCUUUAUGUGAAAAAAGUUGAAUGUUAUAGU